AGCGAACGCUGGCGGCAGGCUUAACACAUGCAAGUCGAACGGAAGCACCGUGCUUGUUUGCUCUUCUGGGGGGCCAGAGGGGGAAGUGACACGUAAAUAACCGAACCUUCACUUUGGUGGGGCUUCAGGAAGCGGAAGCUAAUCCCAUAUAGGAUCUCCUGCUGCAUGGUGGGCGGGGGAUAGUUUCGGCGGUUGGGAAUGGACGCGCCGCUUAUGGGCUUGUUGGUGGGGUAGUGGCUGACCAAGGCUGUGACGGGUAGCCGGCCUGAGAGGGUGAACGGCCACAUUGGGACUGCGAUACGGCCCAGACUGCUAUGGGAGGCAGCAGUGGGGAAUAUUGUACAAUGGGAGGAAGCGUGAUGAGGAAACGCCGCGUGUGGGAAGACCGUCUGCGGGUUGUAAAAAGCUUUAGCUUGAGACGCAGCGUGAGUGACGGUACCGGGAGAAGAAGCACCGGCUAACUACGUG
rnacentral:rRNA from 1 species